UCAGUUUUAAAGAAACUUCGCUAGUUUUAGUCAAUUUCUUUUUAAAAUUUUACAAUGGAACGGAGGUAACCCACUUAAUAAAACACUUAAAUGUCUUUCUUUGCUUCAUUCUAUUGUGAUAUAUGUGUAUCUAAUAUCGUAUUUAUAUUAUGUACCUUUCUAAACAUUUUGAAAAAAAAAUGUCUCUUUUUGUAGUGUGAUGUAAAAGUAAAGCAGACUGACACGAGACCAGUAACUUCAGAAUUGAAGAGGCGCAUGUCUUUGCUCUACAUGGUGAAUUUGGAAAUUAUAGUGAAUUUUUGGAUUUAUCAGGUCUCUUCUUUCGAAGUGAAACCUGUAAAGUGUUUGUGAAGUAGAAUAGUUACAGAUCAUAAGAGAUGACGUGGUUCUUUGUUCUGCAUGGUGUAUAUGGAAAACAUAAUGGAUGGCCAGCAUAGACACAUUUAACGAGUCUAUAGGGCUGAGAUGUGUGUACCAUUCUAUCAGGCUAUCCCAUUCUGUCCAGUCAACAAAUUUGUAAUGGCUGUGUGGAGUCUCAAAUAACUGGGUGUAAUUUUUCACAGUCACAAAGACAGAUUGCAAA
rnacentral:lncRNA from 1 species